GGAACUCUGUGAUAGCAACCACCGGGCCAAUAGACGAAUUUCUCCCAUUUCUGCAGUCAAAACACUUCCCAAACCAAUUCCCUGAACAGCAACAACGUCAAGACAAGCAAGUGUUGAAACCACCAAGAGGGGAGAAAAAAAAAAAAAGAUAUGGACAGGAUACUGAUAAAUAGUUUUACUGGUCCAUCUUCCAUCAUUCCAGAAUUACUUAGUUUACAGAAUGAGAGAAUUUAGGAGAUUUGCCACUUUAUAAACUGCCUUCCAUUUCAUAAAUUACUCUGCUAGUGAUAUCCCUAAAGAGGCUAGGAAAGCCAGGUUGCAAGAACAGAUGACAGUGAAGAAUUAAGAGAUGUUUAUCUAAAAACCUAAAAGCCUCCACUCUAAAAGAACUAGGCAUAUUUCCAACUGCAGAGAAAUAAAACAAAGUGAUUGAGGUUUACACAGCAAUGAGCAUUGUUGACAUCUUUCACCUCCUGUAGUCAGGACAGCUGUAACUAACUUUGUAUGGUUUUAUUUAAUUUGGUGGUAGGGGGGGAAGGGGCAGAGGAAGGAGGGGAAGGGUCUGCAAGAUGGGAGAGAUUCAUAAUAAAAUAAUAAUAAUAAAUAAUAAUAAUAUUAAAACCUGGUCUUGCAAUCUCUUGCAUCCAAGUAGAGAGCCUUACAUACACUCCCCAAAUGUGUAAAAAGUCACUCUUUUACCAAGAUUACCACCACUAACAACAGGCUUAGAAAUGCCAGAUGUAAUCAAAAUCUUAAUUUCCAUCCUUUUUGUUGAAGAAUAUAAUCUGAUAAUUAAAAAAUGAUUAAUCUGUUCUCAUCAGGAGUGAAGUGUAUUUGAAAAUACAUUCUUCAGAGGGAGAUUAUGGUGUCAUUAUGGUCACAUUAUUGAAACAAUAUCCAUUUACUUUUGUUCCAUAUAUUGUUUCCAAGUCAUUACUAGCUAGUUUAAUGACAAUCCAUGUGCUCUUCAGAUUGGUUAACUGUGCAAUACUAGAUAUUUAAUUAUUUCUAAAGCCAGUGUAAGAUUCCAUGUUGAUCUAUAUGGUGGGGGGAAAAAGGGGGUUAGUCAGACUUCCAAUUUAUGGAAAAGAAAGACUAUGCAAGAGAUUAGAAUUGACCUUGACCUGCUAACUCACAUUAAAACUACAACUCGUCUUGUCUUCAUUAGGACUUUAAACUCAUGUUAGCUAAUGCAAGGUAAGAACACAUUUUUUCCUAGUGAAGACAUCCCUUUAGGGAGGAAAACAUCUCUCAAGCUGUUUCUCACAUUUGAGAAAUAACACUAAGGGCUUGUCUACAUUACCCGCUGGAUCGACGGGUAGCGAUCGAUCCAGCAGUGGUUGUAGACGCAAUAAAUUGACCGCAGAGCACUCUCCCGUCAACUUACCACAGUA